rnacentral:rRNA from 1 species
UGGCGGAGGAUGAACGCUAGCGGCAGGCUUAACACAUGCAAGUCGAGGGGCAGCGCGGUGUAGCAAUACACUGGCGGCGACCGGCGUAAGGGUGCGUAACGCGUGAGCAACAUGCCCGUCACAGGGGGAUAAUCCAUGGAAACGUGGUCUAACACCGCAUAGAUUAUAUGUAGGACAUCCUAUAUAUAAGAAAUUCGCAAGAAGGUGACGGAUUGGCUCGCGUAACAUUAGCCAGUUGGUAGGGUAACGGCCUACCAAAGCGACGAUGUUUAGGGGUCCUGAGAGGGAGGUCCCCCACACUGGAACUGAGACACGGUCCAGACUCCUACGGGAGGCAGCAGUGAGGAAUAUUGGACAAUGGAUGGAAAUCUGAUCCAGCCAUGCCGCGUGCGGCGGGAUGACGGCCCUAUGGGUUGUAAACCGCUUUUGCAGGGGAGCAAUAAGGUGCACGCGUGCACUGAUGAGAGUACUCUGCGAAUAAGCAUCGGCUAACUCCGUGCCAGCAGCCGCGGUAAUACGGAGGAUGCAAGCGUUAUCCGGAUUUAUUGGGUUUAAAGGGUGCGUAGGCGGGAAGUCAAGUCUGUGGUGAAAAGUUCGGGCCUAACCUGGAUCGUGCCAUGGAAACUGUCUUUCUUGAAUAGUGGUGCCGUUGGCGGAAUGUGAAGUGUAGCGGUGAAAUGCUUAGAUAUUACACAGAACACCGAUUGCGAAAGCAGCUGACGAACCACCGAUUGACGCUGAUGCACGAAAGUGCGGGUAUCGAACAGGAUUAGAUACCCUGGUAGUCCGCACAGUAAA